rnacentral:rRNA from 1 species
AGAGUUUGAUCCUGGCUCAGGAUGAACGCUAGCUACAGGCUUAACACAUGCAAGUCGAGGGGAAACGAUAUUGGAAGCUUGCUUCCGAUAGGCGUCGACCGGCGCACGGGUGAGUAACGCGUAUCCAACCCGCCCAUCACUUGGGGAUAACCUUGCGAAAGUAAGACUAAUACCCAAUGACGUCUCUAGAAGACAUCUGAAGGAGAUUAAAGAUUUAUCGGUGAUGGAUGGGGAUGCGUCAGAUUAGCUUGUUGGCGGGGUAACGGACCACCAAGGCUACGAUCAGUAGGGGUUCUGAGAGGAAGGUCCCCCACAUUGGAACUGAGACACGGUCCAAACUCCUACGGGAGGCAGCAGUGAGGAAUAUUGGUCAAUGGACGAGAGUCUGAACCAGCCAAGUAGCGUGCAGGAUGACGGCCCUAUGGGUUGUAAACUGCUUUUAUAAGGGAAUAAAGUGAGCCUCGUGAGGCUUUUUGCAUGUACCUUAUGAAUAAGGACCGGCUAAUUCCGUGCCAGCAGCCGCGGUAAUACGGAAGGUCCGGGCGUUAUCCGGAUUUAUUGGGUUUAAAGGGAGCGUAGGCCGGAGAUUAAGCGUGUUGUGAAAUGUAGACGCUCAACGUCUGCACUGCAGCGCGAACUGGUUUCCUUGAGUACGCACAAAGUGGGCGGAAUUCGUGGUGUAGCGGUGAAAUGCUUAGAUAUCACGAAGAACUCCGAUUGCGAAGGCAGCUCACUGGAGCGCAACUGACGCUGAAGCUCGAGAGUGCGGGUAUCGAACAGGAUUAGAUACCCUGGUAGUCCGCACGGUAAACGAUGGAUGCCCGCUGUUGGUCUGAAUAGGUCAGCGGCCAAGCGAAAGCAUUAAGCAUCCCACCUGGGGAGUACGCCGGCAACGGUGAAACUCAAAGGAAUUGACGGGGGCCCGCACAAGCGGAGGAACAUGUGGUUUAAUUCGAUGAUACGCGAGGAACCUUACCCGGGCUUGAAUUGCAGAGGAAGGAUUUGGAGACAAUGACGCCCUUCGGGGCCUCUGUGAAGGUGCUGCAUGGUUGUCGUCAGCUCGUGCCGUGAGGUGUCGGCUUAAGUGCCAUAACGAGCGCAACCCCUCUCCUUAGUUGCCAUCAGGUUAAGCUGGGCACUCUGGGGACACUGCCACCGUAAGGUGUGAGGAAGGUGGGGAUGACGUCAAAUCAGCACGGCCCUUACGUCCGGGGCUACACACGUGUUACAAUGGC